rnacentral:rRNA from 1 species
UACAGAGGUCUCAAGCGUUGUUCGGAUUCAUUGGGCGUAAAGGGUGUGUAGGUGGCGCGCUAAGUCGGGUGUGAAAUUUCGGAGCUUAACUCCGAAACUGCAUUUGAUACUGGCGUGCUUGAGGACUGGAGAGGAGAGACUGGAAUUCAUGGUGUAGCAGUGAAAUGCGUAGAGAUCAUGAGGAAGACCAGUGGCGAAGGCGGGUCUCUGGAC